rnacentral:rRNA from 1 species
UGGGGAAUAUUGGACAAUGGGCGAAAGCCUGAUCCAGCCAUGCCGCGUGUGUGAAGAAGGUCUUCGGAUUGUAAAGCACUUUAAGUUGGGAGGAAGGGCAGUAAGCGAAUACCUUGCUGUUUUGACGUUACCGACAGAAUAAGCACCGGCUAACUCUGUGCCAGCAGCCGCGGUAAUACAGAGGAUGCAAGCGUUAAUCGGAAUUACUGGGCGUAAAGCGCGCGUAGGUGGUUCGUUAAGUUGAAUGUGAAAGCCCCGGGCUCAACCUGGGAACUGCAUACAAAACUGGCGAGCUAGAGUAGGGAAGAGGGUGGUGGAAUUUCCUGUGUAGCGGAGAAAUGCGUAGAUAUAGGAAGGAACACCAGUGGCGAAGGCGACCACCUGGGCUCAUACUGACACUGAGGUGCGAAAGCGUGGGGAGCAAACAGG